GACGAACGCUGGCGGCGUGCUUAACACAUGCAAGUCGAACGAAGAGCGAUGGAAGCUUGCUUCUAUCAAUCUUAGUGGCGAACGGGUGAGUAACGCGUAAUCAACCUGCCCUUCAGAGGGGGACAACAGUUGGAAACGACUGCUAAUACCGCAUACGAUCUAAUCUCGGCAUCGAGGAUAGAUGAAAGGUGGCCUCUACAUGUAAGCUAUCACUGAAGGAGGGGAUUGCGUCUGAUUAGCUAGUUGGAGGGGUAACGGCCCACCAAGGCGAUGAUCAGUAGCCGGUCUGAGAGGAUGAACGGCCACAUUGGGACUGAGACACGGCCCAGACUCCUACGGGAGGCAGCAGUGGGGAAUCUUCCGCAAUGGACGCAAGUCUGACGGAGCAACGCCGCGUGAGUGAUGACGGCCUUCGGGUUGUAAAGCUCUGUUAAUCGGGACGAAAGGCCUUCUUGCGAACAGUUAGAAGGAUUGACGGUACCGGAAUAGAAAGCCACGGCUAACUACGUG
rnacentral:rRNA from 1 species